rnacentral:rRNA from 1 species
AACGCUGGCGGCAUGCUUCAGACCUGCAAGUUUAACGAGAUCUUCGGAUCUAGUGGCGCACGGUGUGAGUAACGCGUGGGAACCUGCCUUUCAGUUCGGGAUAACAGUUGGAAACGACUGCUAAUACCGUAUACGCCCUCCGGGGGAAAGGUCAGCCGCUGAAAGAGGGGCCCGCGUCUGAUUAGCUUGUUGGUAGGGUAAAAGCCUACCAAGGCUACGAUCAGUAGCUGGUCUGAGAGGAUGAUCAGCCACACUGGGACUGAGACACGGCCCAGACUCCUACGGGAGGCAGCAGUCGGGAAUAUUGGACAAUGGAGGAAACUCUGAUCCAGCAAUGCCGCGUGUGUGAUGAAGGCCCUAGGGUUGUAAAGCACUUUCAACGGUGAAGAUGAUGACGGUAGCCGUAGAAGAAGCCCCGGCUAACUUCGUGCCAGCAGCCGCGGUAAUACGAAGGGGGCGAGCGUUGUUCGGAAUUAUUGGGCGUAAAGGGCGCGCAGGCGGUUUGGAUAGUUAGACGUGAAAGCCCUGGGCUUAACCUAGGAACUGCGUUUAAUACAGCCAAACUAGAGAACUAGAGAGGAUAGCGGAACUCCCAGUG